rnacentral:rRNA from 1 species
AGUGAACGCUGGCGGUAGGCCUAACACAUGCAAGUCGAACGGCAGCACAGUAAGAGCUUGCUCUUACGGGUGGCGAGUGGCGGACGGGUGAGGAAUACAUCGGAAUCUACUUUUUCGUGGGGGAUAAUGUAGGGAAACUUACGCUAAUACCGCAUACGACCUACGGGUGAAAGCAGGGGAUCUUCGGACCUUGCGCGAUUGAAUGAGCCGAUGUCGGAUUAGCUAGUUGGCGGGGUAAAGGCCCACCAAGGCGACGAUCCGUAGCUGGUCUGAGAGGAUGAUCAGCCACACUGGAACUGGGACACGGUCCAGACUCCUACGGGAGGCGGCAGUGGGGAAUAUUGGACAAUGGGCGCAAGCCUGAUCCAGCCAUACCGCGUGGGUGAAGAAGGCCUUCGGGUUGUAAAGCCCUUUUGUUGGGAAAGAAAAGCAGCAGGUUAAUACCCCGCUGUUCUGACGGUACCCAAAGAAUAAGCACCGGCUAACUUCGUG